UCAUUGGGUUUAAAGGGUCGUAGGCGAGUUAGUAGUAGUGGUGAAAGCCCAUCGCUCAACGGUGGAACGGCCUUGAUACUGCUAGACUUGAAUUAUUAGGAAGUAACUAGAAUAUGUAGUGUAGCGGUGAAAUGCUUAGAGAUUACAUGGAAUACCAAUUGCGAAGGCAGGUUACUACUAAUGGAUUGACGCUGAUGGACGAAAGCGUGGGUAGCGAACAGGAUUAGAUACCCUGGUAGUCCACGCCGUAAACGAUGGAUACUAGCUGUUGGGAGCAAUCUCAGUGGCUAAGCGAAAGUGAUAAGUAUCCCACCUGGGGAGUACGUUCGCAAGAAUGAAACUCAAAGGAAUUGACGGGGGCCCGCACAAGCGGUGGAGCAUGUGGUUUAAUUCGAUGCUACGCGAGGAACCUUA
rnacentral:rRNA from 1 species